UUGCGCAUGAGCUUGGUCCUUUAUGGAAAAAGGUUGGCCUAGCGCUGAAAGUCCCGAAAGCUGUGAUUAGUCAGAUUGAAGCAAACAAGUCUGACGUUUCUGAUAAAUGCUAUACUGUCCUAACUAGCUGGCAAGAAAGGUACCCAAAGGAUGCAACAUAUCAUCGCUUGGCACUUGCAUUGAAGCAUGACGCUGUUGGGCGAGCAGAUGUGGCUGAGAAGUACUGUGGUCUUUAACUUUGCAACGUUGAAUCAGUGGCUAAGGAUUAUUAGUAGCCGGAUUGAAACCCGCCAAUCACAGCAUACCACUGCCAGUAUUUGCACAGAUAUUCCAUAUUGUUAUUUUGCAUCAUUUUGUGUCAACGUUGUGACGUCACAAGUAAUCUAAUUUGCAUAAACUAUUAUCUUGAAUAACUUGGCAACCAAGACUGCUAUUACAAUAAAAUCACUCUGAAAGCUCUUCCUAAUAAGUUAAUAAAAAAUUUCGUGUCAUAUACACUUAAGGCGCUGUUACACUAGGCAAUUUCUCUUGCAACUUGUCUCGCAAUUUUGUUGCGACACAAGUUGGGCGUUGCGAUACAAGUUGCUUGAAUCGUGUUACACUGGGCAACGUUUCUUGCAACUUGUCUCGCUCGCCAUUGUCACUAACAGCGCCGAGGACUGGCACUAUAAAGAACAUAAAUUGGCGCAAAAAUAAAAAAAUGAUGAAUUGUAGUAGGAAAAGAAAAUAUUUUGCUUUACUGGUAAUAUCCGAUUUGUCAACUGAAGACGAAAAUGGGGACAUUCCAUCAAGGCGAAAUCGCGUUAACUGGGUCAGGCCCUGGAUGGCAAGAAGGGAAGAAAGAGGAGUUUUUCACCAACUUGCGAGGGAGCUUGCUGUAGAGGAUGCUGGCGGAUACAGAGAUUUCUUUAGAGUGAGCAGCCAACAGUUCGAGUUUUUAUUCAAUGCAGUUUCACACACAAUAUCUAGGCAAGAUACAAAAUUACGAUCAAGUAUCAAACCUGCUGAAAGGCUUGCUGUCACGCUGAGAUAUUUGGCGACAGGUGAAACCCUCAUGUCACUGGAGUACUCGUUUAGGAUCAGUAGAACUAUGAUUUCCUCCAUUGUCAUUGAGUGCUGCAAUAUUUGAAAUCCUCGGAGAGACAUACUUGAAGACGCCAAAUAGUGAAGAGGAAUGGUCAUCACUGGCGAGAACAUUUGAGAACAGGUGGAAUUUCCCCAAUGGUAUCGGAGCGAUAGACGGCAAGAGGAUUCUUAUUCAACAACCGUUCAAUGCUGGGUCACACUACUUUGAUUACAAAGGGAACAACAGCAUAGUCCUGCUGGCUAUUUUUGGUCCUAAAUACGAAUGUCUUUGGGCAGAUGUGGGCACAAAUGGUCGAGCUCCAGAUUGUGGAAUUUGGCAACGAAGCAGUAUGAAAAAGUUACUUUCUAGUGAUGAUAACCCCCUCUGUCUUCCACCAGCAAAACCGCUUCCAGGAAGAGUCAAGCCCAUUCCAUAUCUCCUUACUGGAGAUGAUGCAUUCCCCCUCACAGUCUACCUCAUGAAACCAUAUCCUCUCUCAAAUUUGGCAAAUGAAGAGAGAGUGUUCAACUAUCGCCUCUCCCGGAUGAGGAGAAUCUCAGAAAAUGGAUUUGGCAUUUUGGCCAAUAUGUGGAGGGUACUGAGAGCUCCCAUCACUCUGUAGCCAAAGAAGGUUGUCAAGAUGACUCUGGCCAUCCUGGUUCUACACAAUUUUUUAAGACCAGAGAUGUCAUCCAUUCUAGCUGAUUCAGAAGACCAGGUAACUGGAGAGAUUACCCCAGGGAUAUGGCGAAAUGAUUCACCGUGUUCUUCUUGCCUGGAAUUUUUCCCCUCCUGUAGCAACAACUUCACCAAUGAAGCAAAGCAUAUUCGUGAAGAAUUUAAGGAAUAUUUCUACAACGAGGGAGUUGUUUCCUGGCAAUGGAGAAUGUGUGGGAUUGACUGAGGAACACUUCUCUGAUAUUCAGGAGCAGUUGACAUUUUUAGUAUACCGACAGCCCGACUCUGAAUUUUGAGAGCAUGUUUCCUUUAAAAGGCCAGUUUUGGAUUGUGCAAGAACAGAAGAAAGGAGCUGACGUUUAGAGGACAAAUUUGCAUUUUUCUUGGUGUUUACAAAGGAAAAUGCAAAUAUGCCCUCUCAACCUCGACUCUGUCCUUUUGUUUUUGCACAAUUCAAAAGUGGCCCAUUCCAACAUAAGACAUCAUUAAAAGAAUAUGCAAUGCUAACGUUUAUCUGUAAACUUUUAAUAUUAAACAACUCUGGUCAUUUUAAGAUGUCCUGUAGCUAAGUUGGCAAAGAAGUGACAUGGAUAACUCAGAAUUUUUAUCCAGUUAUCAAGGUCUGAUUUAAGGUGGCUCAAACCAGUUUCAACACUUUCAGACACUUUCCUAUUGUAGGGGAUUCACACUUCAUACUUUAUCACAUAUUAGCAAUGUUAUGCUAUAAUAACAAAGAAGAAUUGUUAUUAUUAUUAUUGCUGAACCGGAUGUGAUCAAAGCCAAAAUAUAGGAUGUGUUUACAUGGCUUUCCUGUUGUCAAGGUAAACAUAAUAUGUCACAAUAAUGACUGCAUCAUAUUUAAUGAACUGUGGUACCAUAAAGUUGCUGUUAUAUGAUACAAUGUUGUAGUUUCAUUGUUAUUCUAAUAAGAGCAUCUCUUCAAAGUGUUGAAACUGUUUUGAGCCACCUCUGGGCAUAAUAUUUAUUUUUGCAAUGUCACUACUAAAAUUUAAUAUAAUGACAGUUAUACAUUGUAAUGUGUUGUGUUACAUGUAACUUAAGCAUUUCAGUGUGCACAUGAUAAAAACAUCUCUUUAUAGUGAUCUAUCAUUUAAAUUGGAAAAAAGAAAACCUUGUCUGAUAUUGCAGAAAGUCCUGUUGUGUUAAGUUUUGUGAGGUACAUGAAACCACAGGAGACAAGUUACUUUUUCACCUUUUUUGGUUGAAACCUGAUUCUUAUAAGUAAGAAAGAAAAGAACAAAGGUAGAAGCUUAAAAAUAAGAUUCCACCUAAUAAUGUCAAACACAACAGCAGCAAACAUGUUUCACAGCAGUGCAUCCGUGUAAGGAUACUUCCAUUUCAAAGAGCUUUGCUUUAUGACUCAUGAUCUUGUACUAUUCAUGCAUACUGUUAGUACAACCGGGAAUCUCCCCACUGGCUUCCAGCAUGAGACUGCAUCGAGCUCAGUGAACUUGCAGGUGAGGGGCUUCUUCCAUAACUAGGACUGUGAUAUGUACUGGUAAAAGACCUUGACGGCUGAAGAAUAGGAACUGCUGGUGAUUCUGAAAACCCACAGGGAAGAGAAUGUCCCCCACUCAUUUCUACCUCAAACAGAACAUCAUUAAUUCGUUUUUUGGCUACAACGCGUUGCCUUUCAGAGAAUCGAUACAGAGUUUCUGUAAUUAACUGUCCAAAUGCAUUUACUUCCCUUUCACCAGGUAUGGUUUCAGUAUUUUUAUUUUCAGGCUCUGGUGUUUUAAGGACAUCAAUCGCUUUUCUUAACAACAACACUCUUGUGUCUUGCAACUCUUGUGUCUUUUCCUUCUUGCGUUUUUUGGGGACAGGGUGUGCCUCGGAAUUAA